rnacentral:lncRNA from 1 species
UGCUGGUAAAUAAUAUAUUAAGUAAAAUUCAAAAUAUGCUAAUUACCCUUCCAGAGAAUCUAGUCACCUUUUCGGUAUAUAUAAAUAUUUAUUUUGUAACAGGAUUAUUUUCAGUUUUAUUUUAGAUUAGAUUCUUAACAUAUUUUGUACUGUCCUUUUCUUUUUGUCUUGUAUAUUUAUCCAGUGGUUUUGUGUUUAUGUGUUACAUAUUUGUUUUUCGUUCAAUUUUUGUACAUAAAUAAGCCGUUAGUUUUCUCGUUUUACAUUGUUAUUUCGGGCAUUUUAUAGCUGACUAUGCGGUAUGGGCUUUGUUCAUUGUUGACGACCGUACGGUGACCUAUAGUUUGUACUUUCUGUGUCAUUUUGGUCUAUUGUGGAGAGUUGUCUCUUUGGCAAUCAUACCACACCUUUAUUUUUAUAUCU